ensembl:lncRNA
CUGGGACAGAGAGACGGAGAGAAGGAGACAGUUUGAGAGAUACAGAGACAGAGAGACAGAUUGAGUGAGAGACAAACGGAGAAAGGGAGACAGAUUGAGGGAUAUAGAGAGAGACACGAGAGAAGGGCAGAAGUGUGGUAGUGUUAAAAAAAAAACCACAACGUUCGGAAAUUUAACUUUUCAACUCCACUUCAGCGCCAUUUCUACGCACUCUGCAUUGCUGGAACAACGGCCUGACGGACUCUGAGCUACAUUUCUUCUUGAGGUAACUUGCCUACAUAAUCAUCUAAGCUAUAUUUUAAUUUGAUGCUUUGUUUUCUACAAUUUUGCAUCACCGUUGCAAAAACGUUGAUGUAAUGUAUUGUUAGGUUAUGGGUUUCUGCACUGAACGUUAGCUAGCUAGCUAGUUAGUUUAUCAAACGUUGGCUAAGGAAAUGUUUCAAUGCAAUUACUGUGACAGGUCGGUUAAAACACAGAGGGGUUAUGUGCUUCAUUGCAAACUUCAUAGAAAUGAACCACGUUGUUUGUUUAAGCUGGUUGCAAAAAGACCUCUGUUCAUAUGGAGCAUUUAAGGCUCAUUUCUACUGGACACAUAUCGUUAACUUAUCAGCUUCUGUUAACGUUACUGUCGGGACAGCUCUCAAAUGCGGUGUGGCGUUAUGUGAACGUCACUGUCAAAAUACAAAACAGCUAAUAACUCAUUUGAAGGAGCAUCUCUUGGAUGGACGAGCUGUGAGUUGUCCAGUGAGUGGAUGUAAAAACGUUUUCAUGGUCAAAUCCUCAUUCACAAGUCACACAAAAUGUAUACAAAAAUGUAUAAUUGAUGGGAUUAAUUAGAUGUGCAGUUAUCCUGGUUGUUAAAAAAUGAACCACAUGAAACGUGAAGAUAAGUCUUGAUUGAGUCUUGAGAGUGAAUGUCAUGCUGUCAGUCCAGCAGCUCCCCCUGUGUGUGUUUGUUUGCUUUGCCUGUGUGUCGCCUGUCUCUGCAAGGAGCUGUGGCCUCCUCCUGUUCAUCCCCGAAGGACGUGGCUGGAACAGCUGACGGCAAUCAGCCAUCAGGGGACUCUCCUACAUCAACCCGGGUCUUCCUGCCAUUCAGCGCCAGAUCCUUCUGUCGUCAGAGAGAGAGGAUCAUCCCAAUCCGCAGUGAACACCUGAGGCUACAAGUCCUCAAGCAGAAGGUCCCGAACCGCUUCGCUUCCUGGAUCUUGAUUUACAAUAAGCUUUAUUAAAUAUUUCCUGAUGUUGACUGAAAUAUAUGCCAACCAAUUGUAAUACAUUAUUCCUUAUAUUUUUGCAAUGGAAUUCUGGCAAAUACAGUUGCUUUGAACUUUGUAAUAAAAUACCGUAACUCAC